rnacentral:rRNA from 1 species
AACGAACGCUGGCGGCAUGCCUAACACAUGCAAGUCGAACGAGACCUUCGGGUCUAGUGGCGCACGGGUGCGUAACGCGUGGGAAUCUGCCCCUCGGUUCGGAAUAACAGUGAGAAAUUGCUGCUAAUACCGGAUAAUGACUUCGGUCCAAAGAUUUAUUGCCGAGGGAUGAGCCCGCGUAGGAUUAGCUAGUUGGUGGGGUAAUGGCCUACCAAGGCGACGAUCCUUAGCUGGUCUGAGAGGAUGAUCAGCCACACUGGGACUGAGACACGGCCCAGACUCCUACGGGGGGCAGCAGUGGGGAAUAUUGCACAAUGGGCGAAAGCCUGAUGCAGCGACGCCGCGUGGGCGAAGAAGGCCUUCGGGUCGUAAAGCUCUGUUCUUGGGGACGAAUAAAAUGACGGUACCCAAGGAGAAAGCCCCGGCUAACUACGUG